ensembl:lncRNA
AUGAUGGAGUGGGACACUAGAAAAUAUGACCUGAAGAUAUAUAAGAGGAUAAACAACAACACACAAUAUGGUCCAGUUUGUAGAGUAAAGAAUGGCAGGAUGAGGAUGAGUGAAUGUGAUCUUUAUAAUAACAGACCUGAAGUGUCAGUCAUUAAUGGGAUUUUAAUAAUAAACCGUGUGAUCAGAGCAGAUUCUGGGAAUUACAGAUUAACACUCUUUCACUCAAACGGCACAGAAACAUCUAGAGAUCUUCAAGUGAUUGUUGAAGUGUGUUCAGUGUCUGUGGUGUUUGUUCUGGUCUGGUGUCUCCAGCUGAUGGUUCUGUUCGGUCUGUUAGGAGGUUUUCACAUCUACAUGAGACACACGUCAGGUGAGAGACAUUUAUCAUCAUCAUUAUAGAUUUGACAUGCAAAUAUUAAGAGUGUGAUGAUGAUGAUGAUGAUGAUGUUUUUAGGAAAGAAACAGGAAGAGGAGAAAGUGAGAAUGAGAAGAUUUAGAGAGAGACAUGAACACACAGCAGAAGAUUCAUGAGAGCAGCAGCAGAUCUUCACAUCUGUGAGAAAUGAGUUCAGAAUCAGUCCAGCUUUCACCUGUCAACAACAGAUCUUAUAUAAAACCAAGAGAUUCAUUAAACCAGGAGAUAUGAAUUAACCAGAUUUUCUACAGUUUUAGUUAUGAAGAUUAUUUUCUGGACAGCUGUGUUUUGUAAUAGUUUUAUUGCUUAUUUUAUUCAUUUGUCUUUCCUCUUUGAAUGAACUAGCAGUAUUUUUAUGUCAUUAUAUGAAACUCCUUCUGUUCAUCUGUGAUCAAACUCUUUUAUUUCUCUGAAUCAGAUCUGUCAGAUCGUGAACUCAUUCUGUGUGUUUAUUUUCACAUUUCUGCUCUUGCUCUUUUACUUUAUUCUUGAUUUGGUUGAUUUCUCUUUAUUUUCAGUGUCUGUUUAGAUGUUUAAACUGUUUGAAGCUCUUCAUCCGUGUCUCAGUUUUGCAGCGUCUGGUGUUUCCUGACUGUGGUUUUGCUUGAAUUUGCAGUUUUUACAUGACUUUUAACAUGUUAACCACAUUUGUGCAUUUUUCUUCACAAGAUAUUUGUGUCAUUUUAGAAUAUUGAUAAGCCGUUCUUUAGAAAUUGUAAUAGGCUCAUUGCUGAAUUUGUUAUGCUUAACUUUUUUGAGGUAAAUGGAAAUAAAACACUUUGAAGUUAAAAAGUAUUUCA